GGUGAGUAAUGCCUAGGAAUCUGCCUGAUAGUGGGGGACAACGUUUCGAAAGGAACGCUAAUACCGCAUACGUCCUACGGGAGAAAGCAGGGGACCUUCGGGCCUUGCGCUAUCAGAUGAGCCUAGGUCGGAUUAGCUAGUUGGUGAGGUAAUGGCUCACCAAGGCGACGAUCCGUAACUGGUCUGAGAGGAUGAUCAGUCACACUGGAACUGAGACACGGUCCAGACUCCUACGGGAGGCAGCAGUGGGGAAUAUUGGACAAUGGGCGAAAGCCUGAUCCAGCCAUGCCGCGUGUGUGAAGAAGGUCUUCGGAUUGUAAAGCACUUUAAGUUGGGAGGAAGGGCAUUAACCUAAUACGUUAGUGUUUUGACGUUACCGACAGAAUAAGCACCGGCUAACUUCGUGCCAGCAG
rnacentral:rRNA from 1 species